AUUCAGCUGAUUUUAAACGGAAAGUGAAUCAAUUAACACAAUAUGCUCCUAAUAUAACUCAACUAACUCAAUUACAUCACCCAUAAUCUGUAUUUGAUGCGAAAUAUGUUGAAUAUUUUUUCCAGCCGAUAAAUACAAAAAAAAUAGAGCAAUUUGAAUACAUAUAUACAUUUGAAUACAUAAAUUAUAUUAAUUAAAAAAAUAUAUGAAUACAUUCAUGAAAUACAACGAGACAGUGAAUACAAUGAAAUACAUGAAAUACAACGAGAUAUAUUGAAAUACAAUGGAAAAAAAGACAAUGAAUACAAUAAAAUACAACGAGAUACAUUAAAAUAUAUUAAUAAAAUCUUCCAGAAAGCUUUCUCAUUGCACAAGCUACCCAGAUUGACUCUCUAAUUCCGUUUUUCCCCGGGAUUCUCAUACAAACACAAGAUAGAAGAUACGAUGGCAACGACGAUGGCAGAGGAUAGCAACUUCGAAGAUGACCAGCUCCAUGCUAUGUCCACUGAUGAUAUUAUUAGGGCUUCUUGCCUUCUCGAUAAUGAAACUCGAAUCAUUCGGGUACCUACCGAUCUGUCGGCAUUUAUUUUCUAUUUGUUGAAUGUUUUGUUUUUCCGGUUUCGAUUAUUGGUGCUUUUCUUCAAGUUGUUCCUUUUUCAGAUCUGAAGGUGAUGGAUUCAUCAUUUCUUUUUGUUGGUCGUGACAGAAUCAGUUAAAAAUGAAGGGGCUAUGGUGGUUAGGUUAAAAAGGUAAAGGUGGAAGACGAGAGAGAGGGGAGAAUAGAUAUGUGUUAGGGCCACUAUAGCUGGAAAUUUAAGAUGAAGAACAUUGGAUCUUUCGUCGAAUCAGCUUUCUGGAUAUAUUCCACAAGAAAAGGACAAGAAUCAUGGUUACUUUUAUAGCAAUAAUCUCAAUCUAUGUAGCAAUUACCCCACUCAUUACAUCCAAGUUCCACGUUGCAGUCACAAAACCAGAGUUGCUAUAGCCAUUGCAUACAAGAGAUUUGAGGGAUACGAGAAAUUUGAGGGGAGAAAGAAAAUAAUACAAAGCUUAUUAUAUGGCUUAAGAGUAGGAGGUCACCAUAAAUAAAUAUUUGGCUAUAAAAAAUCAAAAGGUAAUUAUGGAAUAUGAUUUUUUAAAAGGAUAUUUAUUUAAAAUAAAUAAGAUAUCAACAUUUGCUAUAACAAAUAAAAAUUCCUUAAUUUUUCUUUGACAACUAAUAUUGACAAUUCAUAACAACAAAAAUAUUGUAAUUAAUGAUUGAUGACCGAGACAACAAUGAGACUUAUGGUGUCUGUUGGAUCUAAGAUAAAAAAUGAUGGAGCAGAAAAAAAUAAAAAAUGGAAAAGAAGCAGCACUGCUUUACCUAAUUUAUUAACAAUUUAUUCAUUAUUUCAUAAGAAAUUUGUAUUGCAGAAAAUAAUCCAAUAAACUAAUAAUCAAUCAUAUAAUGAUCACCUAUCUAAGCAAAAAAAAAAAAANNNNNNNNNNNNNNNNNNNNNNNNNAUCAAUCAUAUAAUAGAUACACCUAUACUAAAGCAAAAAAAAAAAAAAAACGGAUGCAUAGUCCAAGCAAGUUCCAUCAGGUUAAGUUGCAGUGAACGAGUUUGUAUUGGUGAAAAAUGCAAAUAGAUUGUGAGUAAAAUGGAAACAGAUGAUAGAAUAAUUGAAGAAAGUACAAAAUGAUCGAACAUUAUUAUUAUUAUUAUUAUUAACUUUUUUUUUGGUAAUACGCUGUUAAUGAUUACCAUAACAAGCAAGAAACAAUAUACCUAAAGAGCACCCUAACCUCAC
rnacentral:lncRNA from 1 species